CCCAAGACUACAAUCAUAGGUGCUACCAUGACUUUUGCUCUUAAAGGGGAAGUCUGCAAAUUUAAAGCCAUUGAAAUCAUAAAAUGUGAAGCACCGUGUUAUCAAUCAAAGGAAAUCAUUUUGAAAGUAAAAAACCCCUUUAACGCUGCUGGAAAUUUCAAUGUCAUUUUAGUGGAAUCUACAACACUGAUCUCUUCUCCAUCACAACUAAUG